CUGGAGAUGGGUGGUGGAGGAGGGGGAAGAAGGAUACACACAGCAGUGUAAAGAGGUAUACAGCAAGGGUGGGCAGGGUGAGACAAUCAGAGAGGACCCUGAGGACAGGCUCAAGGACCUGGGAAUCCAGAAGGACUGAUGCAUACCUAGUGAUGGAGACAUUAAAGAGGUAACCCUGGGAGAAGCAAUUCCAAGAAGAAAGGCUGUCUGGGUGGUGAGAGAUAAGGUAGAAUGAUGGGUAGGUUUGUGGGGUAGGGGAGCCUGAAGGCCCAGGGAAAAAAUGUCCUUGUGAGGGCAUGCAGGUGCACUGAAGGGACACUAAAGGCCAUUUCAACAGGGACUACUUGGACAGUUUCAACCACAAAUCAACAUUGCAUAUAUCUCAGGCCUUUCUUUUUCAGAGUCUGUGAUAGCCAGCAGCCUGAAAAAGCUAGUAAGAGUUCCUAGUUUGCUCUGGGCAAAGGACAAGUAAUUUUUCUGGGAAAUGGUCCCUUACUGGAUCCAGUAAUAGCAGUUUUGUCACUGUCCUUUUCCUGCUGGAAUUAACCUUGCUUUCCUAGGGGGGGAGGGGACGUCUGCUGAUUGUGCCUCAUGUCUCCACGAUAUAGAGAGAACUAGCCUGUUCAUGUUCUGUCACAGCUGCCUGAAGCCACAGGUGGCUCCAUUCCUUGCCCAGGCAAAGGGAAGCUGCCCUUUCUGGUUAGAAUCCCUAAAAAACCUAUAGCUCCUGAC
rnacentral:lncRNA from 1 species